UGAGUGGCGAACGGGUGAGUAACACGUGGGCAACCUGCCCAAAAGAGGGGGAUAACACUUGGAAACAGGUGCUAAUACCGCAUAACCAUAGUUACCGCAUGGUAACUAUGUAAAAGGUGGCUAUGCUACCGCUUUUGGAUGGGCCCGCGGCGCAUUAGCUAGUUGGUGGGGUAAAGGCUUACCAAGGCAAUGAUGCGUAGCCGAACUGAGAGGUUGAUCGGCCACAUUGGGACUGAGACACGGCCCAAACUCCUACGGGAGGCAGCAGUAGGGAAUCUUCCACAAUGGGCGAAAGCCUGAUGGAGCAACGCCGCGUGGGUGAAGAAGGUCUUCGGAUCGUAAAACCCUGUUGUUAGAGAAGAAAGUGCGUGAGAGUAACUGUUCACGUUUCGACGGUAUCUAACCAGAAAGCCACGGCUAACUACGUGCCAGCAGCCGCGGUAAUACGUAGGUGGCAAGCGUUAUCCGGAUUUAUUGGGCGUAAAGGGAACGCAGGCGGUCUUUUAAGUCUGAUGUGAAAGCCUUCGGCUUAACCGGAGUAGUGCAUUGGAAACUGGGAGACUUGAGUGCAGAAGAGGAGAGUGGAACUCCAUGUGUAGCGGUGAAAUGCGCAGAUAUAUGGAAGAACACCAGUGGCGAAAGCGGCUCUCUGGUCUGUAACUGACGCUGAGGUUCGAAAGCGUGGGUAGCAAACAG
rnacentral:rRNA from 1 species